GAACAAAAACUGCAAAGGAGGAAAUACUGGAGCAAAUAUUGAAACAGAGACUGAAGGAAAGGCCAUCCAAAGACUGCCACACCUGGGGGUCUGUCGCAUAUGGAGCCACCAAAGCCAGUCUCAAUUGUUGAUACCAAGAAAUGCUUACUGAGUGGAGCCUGAUAUGGAUGCCUCCUCAGAGGCUCUGCCAGAGCCUUACUGAUACAGAUUAAGAUGUUUGCAGCUAACCAUCAGACUGAGUACCUGGGCCUAAAUGGAGAAAUUAGAAAAGGACUGAAGAAGCUGAAGGAGUGUGCAACCCCGUAGAAAGAACAACAAUAUCAACCCACAGGACCACCCAGUGCUCCCAGAUAGUAAACCACAACCAAAGAGUAUACAUGAGGGAACUCAUUGCUCCAGCUGCAUAUGUAGCAGAGGAUGGGAUUGUCUCGCAACAAUAGGAGGGGAAGCCCUUGGUCCUGUGAAGGCUCUUUUCUACAGUGUAAGGGAAUGACAGGUUGUUGAGGCAGGAAUGGGAUGGUGGGAAUUGAGGCAUCCUUAUAGAAGCAGGGGGAGGAGGGAUGGGAGAGAAGGGAACCAGGAAACUGAAUAACAUUUGAAAUGUAAAUACAUAAAAUAUCAAAUAAAAA
rnacentral:lncRNA from 1 species